GUUUUCUUUUUUGUAUAAAAAACAUAUUGGGCUUGAGCCUGAACCCGUAUAGUGGAGUUGGCCCAUUAGGGUUUGUGGAUUUAUAUUACAGCAACAAUCACCUCUAAUCUUCAUCUGUGCGUGAAGGAUCUUCUCCAUUUCAAAGGUACUAUCUUUCUUUUUCUCGUUUUUAUGUUGCAUCGAUUGAAAUCUUCAAAGAAACAAUGAAUGAUUUUAUUUACUUUUACAUGAUAGUAAUAAUAUUGUAUUAUUGUAUAGGUGGUAAGUGAAAAUGGUUGACACCAAGGGUAGAAAGGAAGAGGUUGUUACCAGAGAGUACACCAUCAACCUCCACAAACGCUUACAUGGCUGUUAUUAUGGGGCCUUCCAUGUGGUUUGGGUGAAUGAGAUCCAUGCCCAUGUCAAGCAUUUCUACUGGACUGUCGUCAUUUCAUUACUCUUUUAUUUUUUUUCUGUUCAAUUAUUUGCUGUGGUUG